rnacentral:rRNA from 1 species
GUAUCGCGCACACUUGGAAACGAGAAACCGUUUCGAAUCCCUACCGCGAGGCGGCAGUAUGGGAAUUCUUCUCGGCCAAUAGGCGAAAGCUGAUCAGGAGGCAAACGCCGCCGGUGAGUGAUGAUGAGUCUUCCGAAUACGUUAAAACUCUGUUAAUCAUGGGAGGAAACAACAAUAUGGUAAGUAAACUGUGCACAUCUUGACGGUACUUGAUCAUGAAAGCCACGGCUAACUACGUGCCAGCAGCGGCGGUAAUACGUAGGUGGCAAGCGUAUCUGGAAAUAUUGGGCGUAAAGCGCGCGUAGGCGGUUUUUUAGUCUGAUGUGAAAGCGCACGGCUCAACCGUGGAGGGUCAUUGGAAACUGGAAAACUUGAGUGCAGAAGAGGAAAGUGGAAUUCCAUGUGUAGCGGUGAAAUGCGCAGAGAUAUGGAGGAACACCAGUGGCGAAGGCGACUUUCUGGUCUGUAACUGACGCUGAUGUGCGAAAGCGUGGGGAUCAAACAGGAUUAGAUACCCUGGUAGUCCACGCCGUAAACGAUGAGUGCUAAGUGUUAGGGGGUUUCUGCCCCCUAGUGUUGCAGAUAACGCAUUAAGCACUCUGCCUGGGGAGUACGACCGCAAGGUUGAAACUCAAAGGAAUUGACGGGGACCCGCACAAGCGGUGGAGCAUGUGGUUUAAUUUGAAGCAACGCGAAGAACCUUACCAAAUCUUGACAUCCUUUGACCGCUCUAGAGAUAGAGUCUUCCCCUUCGGGGGACAAAGUGACAGGUGGUGCAUGGUUGUCGUCAGCUCGUGUCUUGAGAUGUUGGGUUAAGUCCCGCAACGAGCGCAACCCCUAAGCUUAGUUGCCAUCAUUAAGUUGGGCACUCUAAGUUGACUGCCGGUGACAAACCGGAGGAAGGUGGGGAUGACGUCAAAUCAUCAUGCCCCUUAUGAUUUGGGGUACACACGUGUUACAAUGGACAAUACAAAGGGCAGCUAAACCGCGAGGUCAAGCAAAUCCCAUAAAGUUGUUUUCAGUUCGGAUUGUAGUGUGCAACUCGACUACAUGAAGCGGGAAUCGCUAGUAAUCGUAGAUCAGCAUGCUACGGUGAAUACGUUCCCGGGUCUUGUACACACCGCCCGUCACACCACGAGAGUUUGUAACACCCGAAGCCGGUGGAGUAACCAUUUAUGGAGCUAGCCGUCGAAGGUGGGACAAAUGAUGGGGGAAGUCGAACAAGAGCCGAACCG